rnacentral:sRNA from 1 species
CACGUUUGACCCUGUUUAGACCAUCGACCCUCUUCUGAUAAUCAACAAUGCUUUCUCCUCGUGAUAAAAUAGCUAGGUGCCUACCUGCUUGAUAUCCGAUUGAUAUCUUCCAGCCCUCAAUUCAAGUAGUGAUUGGUAGCUAGCUAGUUGACUGCUUGUCCAUCCACUGUAUAUUCUCUCAUUCAAACUUCAGAUUCGCGCCAUUUACCGCCCUUAUGCACUGCACCCUCUAUUAUGGGGCUCUGAGGGCGUGGGCAUUCGGUUUAGAAAAUGUGGAAUUAACAGUUCAUUUGCCCCUGGGAUUUAGAGACGCGUUUGCCCACCCUCAUAUGGAGGGUUCUAGGGGGAGGUUGCUUCUAGUAUAAAACUGUAAUAUAAUUGGUGUAGCUACGGAAUAUGCAUGAAAAAUUGAAACAUGUGUGAAAAAUACAAGCCA